rnacentral:rRNA from 1 species
AUACGGAGGGUGCAAGCGUUGUUCGGAUUUACUGGGCGUAAAGCGCGCGCAGGCGGAUUAGCAAGUCAGAUGUGAAAUCUCGGGGCUCAACCCCGAAACUGCGUCUGAAACUGUUAGUCUAGAAUCUCAGAGGGGGCAGGGGAAUUUCACGUGUAGGGGUAAAAUCCGUAGAGAUGUGAAGGAACACCGGUGGCGAAGGCGCCUGCCUGGAUGAGUAUUGACGCUGAGGCGCGAAAGCGUGGGGAGCAAACAGGAUUAGAUACCCUGGUAGUCCACGCCGUAAACGAUGAGUACUAGCCUUUGGAGGUAUUGACCCCUUCAGGAGCAAAGCUAACGCAUUAAGUACUCCGCCUGGGAAGUACGGUCGCAAGACUAAA